GCCGAAGUGGUGGAAUUGGUAGACACGUCGGUCUCAAAAACCGAUGCUCUCUGAGCGUGCCGGUUCGAUUCCGGCCUUCGGUACCA
rnacentral:tRNA from 1 species